CAGGAAGAGAUGCUUUAAAUGGCUCGCACUGGGAAGUUUCCCAAUGUAACUGCUCGUAAAACUUCAACAUAUCCACAGAUUCAUAUUCGAGGCGAACACUUUAAACCCAGCUCUGAUUUCUUCAUACUUUUUAAACCUGUCACAAGCUGGUGUGGCACCAUUAAAUCUUUCCUUAGAAAACAUGGUUAAAUCUGACUUCAACUGACAUAGCAUUGAUUCUUCCAUAAAUCAUAAAGCAGUGAACGCAGGUUCACUGGAGCAAGGGGUGAAUUACACAAGUAAACUAAAUAACUCAAUCAGCAAAGGUCCAGCUUUGAUUUCACGGUGGUCAAAUGACCUUUGAUUCCAGUCGACAUUUCGGUUAAGUUACACAACACACAAAACUUGGCAUCCAGCAAAGCAAAUGGUCUUGAAUUACAGGAUAAACUGGUACUGCCUAGGCCAAACCUGUGCAGUCAGCCUGGGAACUAAGGGAUCUGACCAUACAAAACGGCUCACUUGUCACUCUAUUGUCUCUACGCACUCCUAAGUCUCUACGCAACAAUCAUGGAGUCUGCAAAUUAUCCAAUGCCUGUCAAUCAAAAAGAGGAAAAAGGCAUUGGAAGAAUUUGGACACGAGGUCAACUUCUGCUACUGAAAGCGAGUUCCCAUCACAUCAUUUAUCUACCUGAAAAAUCAGGUUCUAGGCUCACCUGGGAGACAAACCUCUGAGGAUGCCUGGGAAGACUGAAGCUCUUGCUGCCAAACCUUCCUCACUGUGAUAGACUUCCUCUCCAUGUGACUUCCCUUUAAACUG